rnacentral:rRNA from 1 species
GAUGAACGCUGGCGGCGUGCCUAAUACAUGCAAGUCGAGCGAACGGACGAGAAGCUUGCUUUUCUGAUGUUAGCGGCGGACGGGUGAGUAACACGUGGAUAACCUACCUAUAAGACUGGGAUAACUUCGGGAAACCGGAGCUAAUACCGGAUAAUAUUUUGAACCGCAUGGUUCAAAAGUGAAAGACGGUCUUGCUGUCACUUAUAGAUGGAUCCGCGCUGCAUUAGCUAGUUGGUAAGGUAACGGCUUACCAAGGCAACGAUGCUUAGCCGACCUGAGAGGGUGAUCGGCCACACGGGAACUGAGACACGGACCAGACUCCUACGGGAAGCAGCAGUAGGGAAUCUUCCGCAAUGGGCGAAAGCCUGACGGAGCAACGCCGCGUGAGUGAUGAAGGUCUUCGGAUCGUAAAGCUCUGUUAUUAGGGAAGAACAGAUGUGUAAGUAACUGUGCACAUCGUGACGGUACCUAAUCAGAAAGCCACGGCUAACUACGUG